rnacentral:rRNA from 1 species
GACGAACGCUGGCGGCGUGCUUAACACAUGCAAGUCGAACGGACCUGCGGGUUAGUGGCGACCGGCUGAGUAACACGUGGGUGAUCUGCCCUGCACUUUGGAUAAGCCUGGGAAACUGGGUCUAAUACCGCAUAGGACCACGGCAUUCAUGUGCCGUGGUGGAACGCUUUUGCGGUGUGGGAUGGGCCCGCGGCCUAUCAGCGUGUUGGUGGGGUGAUGGCCUACCAAGGCGACGACGGGUAGCCGGCCUGAGAGGGUGCCCGGCCACACUGGGACUGAGAUACGGCCCAGACUCCUACGGGAGGCAGCAGUGGGGAAUAUUGCACAAUGGGCGCAAGCCUGAUGCAGCGACGCCGCGUGAGGGAUGACGGCCUUCGGGUUGUAAGCCUCUUUCGCCAGGGACGAAGCGCAAGUGACGGUACCUGGAGAAGAAGGACCGGCCAACUACGUGCCAGCAGCCGCGGUAACAC